UGGGCUUGACAUGGCGCUGCAAGCGCACGGAAACGUGUGACCUUCGAGGGUGCGCCACAGAUGCUGCAUGGCUGUCGUCAGCUCGUGUCGUGAGAUGUUGGGUUAAGUCCCGCAACGAGCGCAACCCUCGCCCUUAGUUGCCAUCAUUUGGUUGGGCACUCUAAGGGGACUGCCGGUGAUAAGCCGAGAGGAAGGUGGGGAUGACGUUCCAAGGUUGGUU
rnacentral:misc_RNA from 1 species